CACCCGCCGGCUCCCUGACUGCAGAGCCUGCCUGCUGUCGGCGUUUUGUCGGGCGCUUCGAACGGUUCCAAGCUCAGGCUGUCUUUCACCGCGGGAGGUGGAAAUCCGUGUGUCCUGGGUGAUGACAGCAGCGUGGGCAGGAAUUCUGUGAAGUUACGUCCCUGCAUCGGGAAGCAGAUGCCUGUGUGCGCGACGUUGUCACUCUGGCGAGAGUGUGUCCAUUACGACAGCCUUGGGGAUAAGACCCAAUGACGGUUAACACCCUUUGUGAAGACGUUGGAGAGAAGGAAGGUGGGUAUCUGGGCUCCCAGCAAGGUAAGAAGCCCGAGGAGCCCAGAUCCCCGUCAGUGAUAUCAGAGCAACACUGGCCGGUGCAGCCAAGUCCCAGCCGUGGCAGAGACGCUCUAGUGAGAAUGACUGUUGUUCUCACUACCGAGGUUGGGGUGGCGGUCACCCCUGCUGGCUGCUGGCACACGAAACAGGCAGUGAGGCUUCUCUGGGCGCUGAGACUGGGACGGGAGAGGGUCAUUCACACCUGGCGGCGGGGACAGGGUUUGUUACAGGCAUGAGAUUCUAGAUACCUACCUGUGAGGGGCCAUUUUAGAGGUGUAUUAGUGGCCCUGGGGUGCUGUAGCAGAUUGCCACAAGCGCAGUGGCUUAACACAGCGAUGUUCUGUCGCAGUUCUGGGUGCCGGGAGCCCCAAGUCCGACCCUCUGGGUUGGAGUCUGGGACUUGAGGCUGGAGGCUUCUGCAGGCUCCGGCGCAAACUGGGUGCCUCGUGUUUUCGAGCUUCUACUGGCGUCGGGAGUGAAUAUUUGGGUUGGAGGGAAUGGAAAAAGGGCCGUCACCCCCACCCUGCCGAGAUGCUGGGACCCUGAGGGCACUGGCUGCCGGAGGAAUGGGGAGCCCACCUGCCUCCUGCAGACAGCACAGGGCAGGUGGAGGGUUAGGGUUAGGGUUAGGGUUAGGGUUGGUCCCCAGAGGGCGAGGUCCCUGGAGGAAGGCUCUGUGGCCUCCCCUGGGUGCUUUCUCUGUGCCUGACUCGUCGAGACUGCUCCCUGAGCCGUAGGGAGCGAGUCAGACACCUUGACAAAUAACCUCUUUGUCCCCCCUGCUCCUUGCUGCCACUUGUUUGGGGAAAUAAAAGGUAAGUUGAAAAUGCCCGUUUUCCAUUUUCAUCUCUAAUUGAAUUUUGUCCUGACCUCUCGGUUCCCCACAGCGGUGUCUCGGGCUUUGAUGAUGAGGAAAAGAAUUCCGUAUUUGGAUAAUAAAACUCCCUCACGUGCCUUCAGCCACCUUCAACUCAAUUUCCUGUCCCCGGAGACAGUGUAUAUUAUAGGAUAGAAUCAGAUUCCUUAUUCAUAGGGAAAAAGCUCCAAUUGAAUCUGAAUAUUCAGCACUCUGCACUGGUCAGGGUGAUGGAUGGCGUAUGGAAAUGCUUCUAGUCCACGCAAUCAAAUGGCAGGAUGCACUCAGGUAUUGGAAGGAAUAAUGAAGUCUAUUCAAUAUUCCCAUAAAGUGCAGAAAUGCACAUUACAGCAGGAGACCCAUGUUCUUAUUACCUUCCCCAUAACAGCUCCAUCGCCACAAAAAGGGGGGGGGGGUGUCACAAAUUACAGAUUAAUGUAGGUGAGCAUGUAAAAUGCAACAGCAACACAGAGCAGAGGUGGGGGCUGAUGCCACGGUGCACGCGGACGAAUGUGGUUGCAGGGGAGCUGAGCUCCUGGUUAGACGUGAGGAGAGGCUGGGGUCCUGGGAGACAGCCCUGCGUUUCCUAGGAAGGAUUUAGGGAGAGGUGCAGAUGAGCCCUGCUGAGGUGAUGGAGUCCAUCUGUCCCGCAGACACCACGCAGGGCCAGUGGGGGCGGGUUAGCGUUAGGAGCUCAAACCCUCGGGUUGCGAACAUGGGUCCUGGGUCUGCAGGAGCUUCCUGAGGUCCCUGGGGAAGCCUGGCGUGGCCUCCCAUGGUGCUUUCCCUGCGCCCUUCACUCAUCGCGACUGCUUCUGCCUGAAGUCGUGCUUCCCCAGUGCCUGCUCUCACUGAUCUCAAAUACAUAUCUGUGGCCUCUCACUUGGAAAGCCUGUUACUGUUAGGUGAGCAGGCAGAGGACAGAAAGGCACAUACAGGGCUUUGCAGACAGGGUGAGUGAAGGGCCUGAGCGGAGGCUGUCCUGGGUCAGGGGGGCCUCCGUCCCAUGACAGGUCCUUGGAAGAGACAGAAGAGGAGACACAGACACAGGGGAGAAGCCCCGUGGGGACAGAGGAGAGACGGGAGGGACGGGCCCCCCGCCCAGGGACGCCUGGAGCCCAGGAGCCGGAAGAGGCCGGAAGGGCCCUCUCUGAAGCCUCGGAGGGAGCGCGGUCCUGGACACCCCGUCUCCGACGUCUGGUCUCCAGGACGGGGAGGGUGAAUUUCUGUUGUCCAAGCCCCCGCUGUAGGCUCCUUUGUCACGGGAUUUGGGGCAGUGGCAGUGGGAACGUGGGGAUGUGUCCUCCCGGCUGCUGUGUGUGAGCAGAACUCCAGGGUGACGCUCUUCAACUGCACAGUGAAGUGUCUGCUGACAAGGUGGUCAGACAAGGCUGCCCUGGACACUGGUGCUCUCGUCACCACAGUCCCCAAGGCUCGAGGACACCCGAUCCUGUGUGCUGCGUCUCUGGGGGAGCUGGUGGACGGGUCGCCGUGCAGGGGCAGCUGGAUGGAGGUCUGGCUGUGACAGCCGCCCCCGGGAAAUUUCCAAGGCUCCAGUGGGUGCCCCCGAGCUGCAGCAGCAGGUCUCAGGAAGUGACGGCCACGCAAGGCAUGAAGGGCGCCUUGCCGUCUGGCUCCAGAAUCCCAAGGAUGUCGUUAAGCCUGAGUCCCCAGCGUGGAGCCCCGCCAGGCACUCCUGGGGCAGAGACAUGCUGUCUUGUUGGCAGAACACAGACCUCUUCUGGGUCCUGCAGACGAGGUGUGUGGCAUCGUCCACACUGCACCAGGCAGAGGCUCCCGUGUGGGACCAGACGGGCUUGGGUGCUGCGAGCCAGUGAGCGGCCCUUCUGUGCACAUUCUCCUCUGGUGACAGGAUGCCUCCGCUCCAGGCGUCGGUGGCCUGUGUACGCGUUCACGUACACGCAAACUCCUAACCCCUUCAGUGAUGCACACGCUUCGGACACACACUUGUCCCUCCACAGGUGCUGAGCGUUUCUGUGAGUCGCUAUUUUUCUGAGGACGGGGAGUGUGGCAGAACCAGCACUGGGUCACGGGAAGAGGAUGUUGUUAACAUCAGGUUCCUUUCUGACCCACUUUAAACCCAAACCUGAUCACGAUGCCCAAUCAAUUUAAGUUGGGUCUGCAAAGCCACUGGGGUGGGUGCCACCCAAGUCCUUGAGAAGUGACUCAGACACCGAGGAUGGGUUUCCUUCCAGACACGGGGAUGAAAGAGAUACAGGUGCUAGACAGACAGGUUGACAGACAGACAGAUUAACCAAUAGAUCGAUGGAUGGUAGACAGGCAGAUACGUGAUACAUAGAGGGAGGAAGGCUUGAUUGAUAAUCAAGAUGACAAAUAAUACAUAGGUCCAUGGACAGAGCAUAAAUACAUAAUAGGUAGAUACAUGGACAGAUUAUAGAUCACAGAUGAUAGAUGAUACGUGGAUGGUAGAUGACACAGAUGAAUGAUCGAUAAGUGGAAUCGUGAUUAUAUACCAUAUUACCACAUCCAUACAUUGUAUAUGCAUAUAUCUUAUGUAACAAAAUUGCGUAUUACAUGUGUAUACCUAUCAAGUAACUAUAACAUUAUUUGCUUAAUGUAACAGUAUGGUCUGCCAGUGUAUA